UGGCGCGUAGGUCAGUCUGGUAGACCGCCUCGCUUACAUCGAGGAUGGCCGCGGUUCGAAUCCGCGCGCGCCAA
rnacentral:tRNA from 1 species